UACAGAGGGUGCGAGCGUUGUUCGGAAUUACUGGGCGUAAAGCGCGCGCAGGCGGCCUUUUAAGUCUCGUGGUGAAAUGCCGGGGCUCAACCCCGUGCCCGCCGGAGAUACUGGGAGGCUGGAGACAUGUAGAGGCAAGCGGAAUUCCGGGUGUAGCGGUGGAAUGCGUAGAGAUCCGGAGGAACACCGGUGGCGAAGGCGGAUCUCUGGGCCUGUUCUGACGCUGAGGCGCGAAAGCUAGGGGAGCGAACAGG
rnacentral:rRNA from 1 species